GAAGGUAUAGCUCAUGUGGUAGAGUAUAUGCUUAGCAUGCAUGCGGUCCUGGGUUCAAGCCCCAGUACGCCCU
rnacentral:tRNA from 1 species